ensembl:lncRNA
GAAGGACCAGGCCCCUUUCCCUAACAGUCGGCUUCGGGAAUGCUGACCCUGGUGGCCGAUCAGCAACUUUAGAUCCUUCCCCAGAGAUGGAAGGCUACAGGUCAAGUGUUAGUAGAGAGCCCAGCUGAAGGGCUGAUACUGGCUUUCAACUCACUUUCAACUCAUCUCUCCUUCUAGGAGUGGCCCCUGGGCUACAUCCACUUUCAGACUGUGGGGCUGGGCCUGGGCAGCUGAAGCACAGUUGGCACUCAAACCUUGGGACCACUGAGAUGAGCCUGGAAUUUCCAAGAUGCGCUUAAGAGAAGUGCUGGACUCUGCUGCCUAAGGGGCUGAUUGAGAAAGUUUUCACCCAUUUCAAGCAAGAGACUCCUCGCAGUUCGGAUGUCGCUGACAAGGGGGCAGUCAUCGCCCCAUGUCUCCGAGCUUGCUCUCGUGAAGCUCCCGCUGCAGCAGACUUGUGAAGCAUUUGACCUUGCUCCUUGGUGGCUUCAGGUGCAGUCUGUUAAUACUGCUCUGCAACACCCCCUUCACUUAUCAACGCAUCUGGAAGAUUCCUCGGUCUCUGAACAUUUCUUCCCCGGUUCUCUGGCCUACCUUCACGCUUCUGAACAGAAGCUCUUAAUUCUAAAACACUCCAGCUGGUCAGGUUUCCUUUAUGGUUAGUACUUUUUGUAUCCUAUUUAAGAGGCUUUGUUUCUUCAGUAUCACGAAGACCUUCUCUUAGGGUUUCUUACAAAAGCUUCCUUGCUUUCCCUUUCAUAUUAAGAUUUAUGAUCCGCGUGGAGGUGAGUUUUCUGUAGGUAGGAGAUAAAGGCUCGUUUUAUUUUUAUAUGACUGGAUCCAGUUGAUCUGUCCUUAUUUAUUAUAAAGACUAUCCUUUUUUCACUUCACUGCAGUGUCAUCUUUUUUUUUUUUAAAGAUUUUAUUUAUUUACUUGACAGAGAGAGAGGCGGUGAGAGAGGGAAUGCAAGCAGGGGGAGUGGGAGAGGAAGAAGCAGGCCUUCUGCUGAGCAGGGAGCCCGAUGUGGGGCUCGAUCCCAGGGACCUGGGAUCACGCCCUGAGCCGAAGGCAGUCGCUCAACGACUGAGCCACCCAGGCGCCCCUGCGGUGUCAUCUUUAUCCAUUAAUCUGGGGAUCACGAAACUUGUGAGACUUUUUUUUUUUUAAGACUUAAUUUUUUCGUUUUUAUUUUUUUUUAAGAAGGCUCCACAUCCAGCAUGGAGCCCAAUGCGGGGCUUGAACUCAUGACCCUGUGAUCAAGACUUGAGCUGAGAUCAAGAGUCAGACACUUAACCAACUAAGCCAUCAUGCACCCCAAAACUUUAUUAUUAUUUAUUUAUUUUAAAUUUUAUUUAUUUAUUUGGGGGGGAGAGUGAGAAUGGGGUGGGGGGUGCAGAGUGAGAAGCAGGCUCCUCACUGAGCAGGGAGCCCGAUGCAGGAGCCCAGGACCCUGGGAUCAUGACCUGAGCUGAAGGCAGAUGCCCAACCAAUUGAGGCACCCAGGCGCCCCCCACAAGACUUUAUUUUUAAAAAAUAGUUUAAAGUUUAUAGAAAAAUUGAGCAGAAAGUAUGGAGUUCCUAUAUAUCUCCCUAGCCUUUCUCUCUCAACACUUUCCUCUAUUACCAACAUCUGCCAUUAGUGUGGUAUAUUUGUUACAACUG